AACGAGCGCUGGCGGCAUGCCUAACACAUGCAAGUCGAACGAGACCUUCGGGUCUAGUGGCGCACGGGUGCGUAACGCGUGGGAACCUGCCCUUAGGUUCGGAAUAACUCCCCGAAAGGGGGGCUAAGACCGGAUAAUGUCUUCGGACCAAAGAUUUAUCGCCUUUGGAUGGGCCCGCGUUGGAUUAGCUAGUUGGUAGGGUAAAAGCCUACCAAGGCGACGAUCCAUAGCUGGUCUGAGAGGAUGAUCAGCCACACUGGGACUGAGACACGGCCCAGACUCCUACGGGAGGCAGCAGUGGGGAAUAUUGGACAACGGGCGAAAGGCUGAUCCAGCAAUGCCGCGGGAGUGAUGAAGGCCGUAGGGUUGUAAAGCUAUUUUCCCAGGGAGGAUAAUGACAGUCCCGGGAGAAUAAGCCCCGGCUAAUUCCGUG
rnacentral:rRNA from 1 species